rnacentral:rRNA from 1 species
GAUGAACGCUGGAGGCGUGCUUAACACAUGCAAGUCGAACGAAGUGGCGAACGGGUGAGUAAUACGUGGGUAACUUGCCCUCCUUUUUGGGGUAAGCCUUGGAAACGGGUGCUAAUACCGACUAAAGGGGGAUGGUCUCGCGGCCUAUCAGCUUGUUGGUGGGGUGUUGGGCUACCAAGGCGGUGACGGGUAGCCGGCCUGAGAGGGUGACAUGCCUCAUGCGAGCUGGGAUACUGCCCAGAAGCCCACGGUAGGCAGCUGUGGAGGAUGUUGCGCAAUGGGGGAAAGCAUGAUGCAGCGAGGCAGCGUGGGGAUUGAAGGCUUGCGGAUUGUAAACCUAUUGCGCUAUCGAACGGGUAAGUGCAGAAGCAGCGACGGCUAACUACGUGCCAGCAGCCGCGGUAAUAC